UAUUCUCUUGUUCUUCUGUGUGUGUUUAGUUGGAGACCCUGGACAAUCUCACUCCAAAGCAGGUGGCUGGACUGAUGGUUGAAGAUCUACCUGGCCUACCAGAGAAGGAAGUCGUCAUCAAUUCAGUGUUCGACUAUCUGCUUGUGUCUCCUGUGGAGCGAGGACUUCCUGAUGUUCUUCAAAACCUGCUCUCAAUCUCACAGAUGGUAAAAUUUACACAGUUGUUCUCGAUGGCUCUUUGCAAACCCUAGUCUGAUGCCUCAGGGUUUCGUCUUUGCAUGUGGUUUGUCUUAAAUGAUAUUUAAAGUAAAUCUGCAGAGGUCAAAUACGUGAGUUUGAUGAAUCAUAUGUGUGACAACAGCACUGAUGCUUGUUUGUGUUUCUACAGGCCAUUAUUCCGUGCAGCUCCUACAUACUGAUAUUCCAGAGGCUGUUUCAGGCUUUACCUUCCCUGCCUACAGAGGUGGAGACUUUGAUCUUGCACACAACUGGAGAACUCAAGCAGAAUGGAGCAAGAGGUUAUCCUUGAUCUUCCUCACUUCUUGCUGUUGAAUCCUCUAGAAGAUCAGCAUGUUUCUAAUUACUUCAGAUGGAAUUAAUUAAUAAAUGCUUGUCUUACUUUCA
ensembl:lncRNA